rnacentral:rRNA from 1 species
AACGAACGCUGGCGGCAUGCCUAACACAUGCAAGUCGAACGGGAUCCAUUGCUUCGGUGAUGGUGAGAGUGGCGCACGGGUGAGUAACGCGUGGGAACCUGCCAAUGAGUACGGAAUAACGGUUGGAAACGGCCGCUAAUACCGUAUACGCCCUACGGGGGAAAGAUUUAUCGCUCAUUGAGGGUCCCGCGUCCGAUUAGCUAGUUGGUGAGGUAACGGCUCACCAAGGCGACGAUCGGUAGCUGGUCUGAGAGGAUGAUCAGCCACACUGGGACUGAGACACGGCCCAGACUCCUACGGGAGGCAGCAGUGGGGAAUAUUGGACAAUGGGGGCAACCCUGAUCCAGCAAUGCCGCGUGUGUGAAGAAGGCCUUAGGGUUGUAAAGCACUUUCACGGGUGACGAUGAUGACGGUAACCUGAGAAGAAGCCCCGGCUAACUCCG